ACGGGUGCGUAACACGUAUGUAACCUACCUUAAUCUGGGGGAUAGCCUCUCGAAAGAGAGAUUAACACCGCAUAACAUCACGAUAUAGCAUUUUAUUGUGAUCAAAUAUUUAUAGGAUUAAGAUGGGCAUGCGGAACAUUAGCUAGUUGGUAAGGUAAUGGCUUACCAAGGCUACGAUGUUUAGGGGAUCUGAGAGGAUGACCCCCCACACUGGUACUGAGACACGGACCAGACUCCUACGGGAGGCAGCAGUAAGGAAUAUUGGUCAAUGGGCGCAAGCCUGAACCAGCCAUGCCGCGUGCAGGAAGACGGCCCUACGGGUUGUAAACUGCUUUUGUACCGGAAUAAACUUUGAUACGUGUAUCAAGCUGAAUGUACGGUAAGAAUAAGGAUCGGCUAACUCUGUGCCAGCAGCCGCGGUAAUACGGAGGAUCCAAGCGUUAUCCGGAUUUAUUGGGUUUAAAGGGUGCGUAGGCGGUUCUUUAAGUCAGGGGUGAAAGACGGUAGCUUAACUAUCGCAGUGCCUUUGAUACUGAAGAACUUGAAUACACUUGAGGUAGGCGGAAUGUGACAAGUAGCGGUGAA
rnacentral:rRNA from 1 species